rnacentral:misc_RNA from 1 species
AACGCACCUUGCGCCCCUUGGCAUUCCGAGGGGCAUGCCCGUUUGAGCGCCGUGAUCACCCUCGACUCCCGGACUCUGUGUCCGGGGUGUUCGGACUUGGACGUUGCCGGUUGCUCCGGCUCGUCUCAAAUGCAUCAGCGAGCGUGUGGCUGCUGACCGCAGCGGUGUGAUGGGUCCUUGGGACGAAACGCCGUUUUUUGCGCUCAAAUGCCAGUGGCUUGCUCACAACCCGUCCCUCCCACGGGACAGCCGACCCCGUCGGCUCGAGCCCUCUGUGGCUCCGCGGCAUAUGGCCUCAAAUCGGGUAGGACUACCCGCUGAACUUAA